GUCGAACGAAGAAGUUUUAGUUUACUAGAACAACUGAGUGGCGGACGGGUGAGUAACGCGUGGGUAACCUGCCCUAUGGAGGGGGACAACAGUGGGAAACUGCUGCUAAUACCGCAUACCUUAUUAAGAUUGCAUGGUCAUAAUAAGAAAGAGUUAUCGCCAUAGGAUGGGCCCGCGUCUGAUUAGCCAGUUGGUAGGGUAACGGCCUACCAAAGCAACGAUCAGUAGCCGGCCUGAGAGGGUGAACGGCCACAUUGGGACUGAGACACGGCCCAGACUCCUACGGGAGGCAGCAGUGGGGAAUAUUGCACAAUGGGGGAAACCCUGAUGCAGCGACGCCGCGUGAGUGAAGAAGUAUUUCGGUAUGUAAAGCUCUGUCAGCAGGGAAGAAAAUGACGGUACCUGACCAAGAAGCCCCGGCUAACUACGUGCCAGCAGCCGCGGUAAUACGUAGGGGGCAAGCGUUAUCCGGAUUUACUGGGUGUAAAGGGAGCGUAGACGGCAGGGCAAGUCUGGAGUGAAAGGCGGGGGCUCAACCCCCGGACUGCUCUGGAAACUGCCAGGCUGGAGUGCAGGAGAGGUAAGUGGAAUUCCUAGUGUAGCGGUGAAAUGCGUAGAUAUUAGGAGGAACACCAGUGGC
rnacentral:rRNA from 1 species